rnacentral:rRNA from 1 species
UACGUAGGUGGCAAGCGUUGUCCGGAAUCACUGGGCGUAAAGCGCACGUAGGCGGACUCGUAGGUCAAUUGUGAAAUACCUGGGCUCAACCUGGGAACUGCAGUUGAAACCACUUGUCUUGAAUACCUGAGAGGGUGGGGGAAUACCUGGUGGAGAAGUGAAAUUCGUAGAGAUCAGGUGGAACACCGGAGGCGAAGGCGCCUGCCUGGCAGUGUAUUGACGCUGAGGUGCGAAAGUGCGGGGAGCAAACAGG